rnacentral:rRNA from 1 species
GUGGGGAAUUUUGGACAAUGGGCGCAAGCCUGACGCAGCCAUGCCGCGUGGAUGAUGAAGGUCUUAGGAUUGUAAAAUCCUUUCACCGGUGAAGAUAAUGACUGUAGCCGGAGAAGAAGCCCCGGCUAACUUCGUGCCAGCAGCCGCGGUAAUACGAAGGGGGCUAGCGUUGCUCGGAUUUACUGGGCGUAAAGGGCGCGUAGGCGGACAUUUAAGUCAGGGGUGAAAUCCCGGGGCUCAACCUCGGAACUGCCUUUGAUACUGGGUGUCUCGAGUAUGAGAGAGGUGUGUGGAACUCCGAGUGUAGAGGUGAAAUUCGUAGAUAUUCGGAAGAACACCAGUGGCGAAGGCGACACACUGGCUCAUUACUGACGCUGAGGCGCGAAAGCGUGGGGAGCAAACAGGAUUAGAAACCCCGGUAGUCC